ACAGCCAUAUCAUGUUGAAACAUGGUUCCCGUACGAUCACCGAAAUUAAGCAACAUCGAGCCUGGUCAGUAGCUAGAUGGGUAACCGUUUGGAAAUGCCAGAUGUU